rnacentral:pre_miRNA from 1 species
UGUGUACUCCCUCCGUUCCAAAAUACUUGACUUCCAUUUGUCCAAAAUUGGAUGUACCUAUAUACUAAAACAUGUCUAGAUACAUCUAUAUUUUGACAAAUAGAAGGCAUGUAUUGUGGAACGGAGGGAGUAGAAU